UACCCACCCGUUUCCCGAUCGGCUUUCGCAAUGGCCGGAGCCUCCGUUGGCUAGCCGGUUAUCAGCUAACCUGAUCGCAGCUAAAGUUAGCUAGCUAGAUGAGCCUGACAGACGUAGCUGGCUAGCUUACUCACAAGCUAACGUUAGCUAGUUGCGUAGUUAGCUAGCUCAUGCUUGCUAUACAUGUCUUUACACAGUGCCGAUUGUGCAAAACACGAGUAAAACUACUAUUAGGAACCGACUUAAGGAAAUGGACAAGUUGAAAAUAAAUAUUACUAGUCAGGAAAAUGAGAUGAUUCUUCCCAAUUAACAUCGUAAACCUGCUAGGUAAUAGUUGGCUAGCUAACUUCGAUUUAUGCUUAUUAGCCACAGCAUGACUUGCAUAACUGACUGUGUAAACAAGUGCGAAUACCUGUGCGACAGAAGAAUCCUCCGAUAUCGCGAUCUCCUCCUUAUCUUUCGGAGUUUUUACCGUGACCACGAUCAUGGUCUCGUCUGAGGCAGCAUUUUCAACAACGUUGGAAUCCACAGUGGGAUCUGUGCCGCUGUUCUCCGCCAUCUUUACUCCUCUUCAAAUUCACUACAUCCAGAGAGGAAGAGGAUGUUGCAUGUUUUCCUCCUUUAACAUGAUCGUGAGGACCACUGAGAAAGGUCUGUUGUGCCACCUCUACAGUACAUGUUACUGAUUUUUGUAUGUUGAUGAAUGCCUUGGACAUCAUGCUCAUCGUCCCUGCAGUCCUUCAGCUUUGUGUCACCAUCAGCUCUGCAGUGUCGGGUCUCAAGGCUUUGUACAAGGAGGGAAAAGAACAUCCAGGACCUGGAGCAGCAUAAGCCUCUGCUGGAGGAGGUCACCACUAACCCUGCAGCUUAAAGAGCACAGAUCUGAUAUACUUUAUUGUCCACGGGGGUAAAUUUUGUCGUGGACGAUUUAGUGGUGCUGCUUCCACAUGAAAUCCAUAGAAUCAAAUGUAUUCUACAUCAAUGGAACAUCAUCAUCAUACACGCCCCCACACAUUUUAUGUUUCAUACAUACAGUAUGUAGUACAUAUAGUUAACAUACAACCAGUGUCAAGUCACAGUAAAUUAAGUAUGUCUUCAUGCAGUUUGAGUCAUGUUUUUUGUAUUUGCCAUUACAAAACUGAAAGGACAGAUAAAGGGGAAUAUAUCAAGUUAAUUACUGAAUUGAUUGUUGUAUAUUAUUUAUUUUUUGUAUUUUGAUAUUUUCUUACUGUAUUAUCCCCCCCCCCCAAAAAACACAACAACAACAACAACAACAUACAAAUAAUAAUAAUUAACAAACUGUCUUAGCUCAACAGUUUCAAAACCGUUUUCCUUAACAUUGCCAUCAGGUGGCAGUCAUUCCCAUACAAACAUACACCAUUGGUUGCUCAUAGGUUAUCUUGGAGGCAAAUGCAGGUAAUGAAAACGGCAACAUAAAGUGUCUUCAGGUCUAAGCCCAUAAGGUCGUAAUAUCUACUAAGUUAAGAUAUGGAAUUGUUUUCAGAUGGUCAUAAAAUUGCUAAGUUUGCCAUUUGAAUUUGAGUACCCCUGUAGGUAUAUAUAUAUUUAUAUAUAUAUAUAUAUAUGCAUAUAUUUGAUGAAACAUUGAAUUUGGCCUUUACUGCUAUAACCCAUAGAAACAAAUUGAUUAACACAUUUGUAUAUGGCAAAACAGACAGUCCAAAAAUAAAUUGUAAGGAAUAAGGUUUUGAAGUGUCUGUCCUAUACACUGGCGUAACGCAGUUUCUCUGGACCCCUGCAAGGUUGGAGUGGGGCCCCCACUCCCUAAAUUAAACAAAUGUGUCAGCCAGAGAGUCACUCACAAAGUUUAGACUACCAACCACUGUCCAUGGUGCUGAAAUUUGGACAUAUCUAUGCGGCUGCCUAUCGGAUUGAUGAUAGGCUUUCUGUGGCGACAGGGCAUGUAGCCAAUAGCUUUGCUUUAGCAAACGGAUACAUGUUUAUUGGUAGGCCUAUUUGGUCGUCAUUUUCUCAUGUUAAGCUUAACAUUUCACGAAGCUGUACACAGUUCCGCAAGUCUGCCAUCAUUAAAAUGAUGUCUGGUGGCAAUAAUAUAAUCACUGGUUCAGUAAUUAAAGUUGGAAAUUUAAACAUUGCAGAUUGUAAAAUGUAUUUUCGAUACAACAGAAUACUAAUCUGCAACCAAUUGAUAAAAAAAUAAAAACACCACUGUCUUGUAUAGCCUACCUGAGCCUGCAUGCCUAUGAUCAGUCCUCGUGCUCUCUCCUAGCUUGGAUAGAAAGUUGUUGGGCGUAAAACCAGUCUAUUAAUGCCAAAUAAGUCAGUCCACCCUCAAAGCACUAGUUUACUAUGGAUUGUUUCAUUUUGCAGUGUACGCUACUAUCUAUAUGCAUUAUUAUUUAGCUGCCAUUUCGCUGCUAUUAUAAACUUUUUUAUAAAAAAUUACACGUCAAAUAGCCCAACAAUGAGGGAAAAAGUAUUCAGCUCGAGGAUAAAUGUAGUCAUUAUUUAUUGUUGAACUCAGCAGGUUUUGUCUGGCUAAUAGCAUACACAAAUGAGCUGCAAUCAAAGUCAAUUAGAUGAAAUCCAACUUGGGAGGCUCCUCUGGUCUUCAAAAUUCUUCCUGAGAUGUUGUGCAUUAUACUGUAUGUCCAUUGCGCUGCACAUAAUUGAAACUUAGUCUUGAAUGAUGCAUGUAUCACAAUUCCAGUGGGUCAGAAGUUUACAUACAGUAAGUUGACUGUGCCUUUAAACAGCUUGGAAAAUUCCAGAAAAUUAUGUCAUGGCUUUAGAAGCUUCUG